GAGGGCAAAUUCCCUUUCUAUGGGGACCUUUAUAUAACCUCUAUUUAUUAGGGCAGGGGGGGUAGAAGGACACUUUCUCUACAGGCACGUUGCCCCAUAGCUGUCUACUAGAGAGUUUCUUCCUCUGGAGGAGCUGGAAUUGGACACUGUCAAAGAUGGGAUACUGGAUUAGAUGGACUACCAGUCUGAGACAGUCCAGCAAUCCCUAUGUUAAGCUGCAGCGCAACAUAUCUAGGUAUGUAGUAAGAUGGCAGCAAACGGGCACAAGAAAUUCCACGCAAGAAAAAUUAAGAAUUUCAGACGUGGAAGUGCAAAAUCGCCCUCCCACCCCACCUCGUCACCAUGAAGAGGUGCACAUCGGAUGAGCUGCAGCAGCCGGAGGAGGACUGUGCUGGGGGUGAAGAUGCCCCCAACCUGGCUGCCAUGGAUGCGAAACCUGGGGAUUGCGCUUCUGCUCUGUCAGAUUCGGGCACUGCUGCUAAUCCAAACCCUGCUCCCCAGCCUGUUCCCCGGAGCAAGCCUCCUGAUUUGAAGAAAAUACAGCAGCUCUCAGAAGGCUCCAUGUUUGGCCAUGGCCUGAAGCACCUUUUCCACAGUCGCCGCAGGUCGCGGGAACGGGAGCAUCAGAACUCCCAGGACUCUCUGUCGCAGCACUACGGGAUGUCUGACCACGACUCCCCUGAUGAGAAGGAACGCUCGCCAGAGAUGCACCGUGUCUCCUACGCCAUGUCCCUCCACGACCUCCCUGUACGCCCCACUGCCUUCAACAGGGUGCUGCAGCAGAUCCGCUCCCGCCCAUCUAUCAAGAGAGGGAGCAGCUUGCACAGUGGCAGCCGCCGGAGCAAAAGCAGCUCCCUUGAUCCCCAGAAAGGCAGCCCCCAUCUGGUCCGGAAGGCUCCCCAGGAUAGUAGCCUCACAGCCAUACUGCAUCAGCACCAGGGCCGGCCAAGGUCUUCAUCUGCCACAGACACCGCCAUCUUGCUGGCUGAAAGUGGGGCUGUGUACCUCCUCCCAGAGGAGUCGGAGUGCCUCGCCGACAAGCUGGACAAAGGGGACGUGAGCACGCUUAGUCUGCCUUCCAACGCCAGCCAUGGCGACGCCGACAUCAGCAACAUCUGCUUGGAUGUCCCAGAUGGCACCCCAGACCCGCACAGGACGAAAGCCGCCAUCGACCACCUGCACCAGAAAAUCCUCAAGAUCACCGAGCAGAUCAAGAUUGAGCAGGAGGCUCGGGAUGACAACGUAGCCGAAUACCUGAAACUGGCCAACAACGCUGACAAGCAGCAGGCCUCCCGCAUCAAGCAAGUCUUUGAGAAGAAGAACCAGAAGUCGGCCCAGACCAUCGCCCAGCUCCAUAAGAAGCUUGAGCACUACCACAAGAAGCUAAAGGAGAUUGAACAGAACGGGCUCUCCCGACAGCCCAAGGAUGUCUUCCGGGACAUGCACCAGGGCCUCAAGGAUGUAGGGGCCAACGUCCGGUCCAGCAUCAGCGGUUUUGGAGGCGGGGUAGUGGAAGGCGUCAAGGGAAGCCUGUCGGGUUUGUCCCAGGCCACCCACACGGCUGUGGUCUCCAAGCCCCGGGAGUUCGCCAGCCUGAUCCGGAACAAGUUUGGCAGCGCCGACAACAUCGCCCACCUGAAGGACACUCUGGAUGACGGGCACCCCGAGGAGGCCUCAAGGACUCUGAGCGGCAGCGCCACCCUGGUGUCCAGCCCCAAGUACGGCAGCGACGACGAGUGCUCUAGUGCCACCUCGGGAUCGGCAGCGGGCAGCAACUCAGGGGCAGGGGCAGGGCCCGGCGGCUUGGGGAGCCCCAAGUCCAAUACCCUGGACAGUCACCAUAAUAACUUUGACACCAUCCUGGAGGAGCUCCGGGAGAUUAAGGACAGUCAGUCGCACCUGGAGGACUCGAUGGAGGAUCUCAAGGCGCAGCUGCAGAGGGACUAUACCUACAUGACGCAGUGCUUGCAAGAGGAGCGGUACAGAUACGAACGCCUGGAAGAGCAGCUGAAUGACCUGACGGAGCUCCACCAGAAUGAAAUGACCAACCUGAAGCAAGAGCUAGCCAGCAUGGAGGAGAAGGUGGCCUAUCAGUCCUACGAGAGGGCCAGGGACAUCCAGGAAGCGGUGGAGUCGUGCCUCACCCGUGUCACCAAGCUGGAGCUCCAGCAGCAGCAGCAGCAGGUGGUGCAGCUGGAAGGGGUGGAGAACGCCAAUGCCCGGGCCCUGCUGGGCAAAUUCAUCAACGUCAUUCUGGCCCUCAUGGCGGUGCUGCUCGUCUUCGUCUCCACCAUCGCCAACUUCAUCACGCCCCUCAUGAAGACCCGCAUGCGCAUCCUCAGCACCGCCCUGCUGUUCCUCUUCCUCCUCUUCCUCUGGAAGCACUGGGACUCCAUCACUUAUUUCCUGGAGCAUGUGUUGCUCCCCAGCUGAUUCCCUGGGGCAGCAUUCCAUUUUCCUACUGAGAAAACAGGAAAGGGAUGGGGGAGAAACUGGAGCCUUCCAUAAAAUAUCUUCAUUCAGUCAGUCAGUCUGGUUUCCCACCCCCUGCACCCAUCCGUAUUCACAUCCAGCAUCCUCAUUGUGGCCAGGAGCAUGGCCUGUUGAGCCAGGAUUGUUCACUCCUCCGCGAAGCCCUGGAAGGUGAGGAUGGAGAGAGCGAUGGAGAGUUUGGAAGAAGCCUGUAACUGACAUGUUCUUGGUUUGUUUGUUUGUUUUUUAAAUGACAUGAUCGUAAUAGUCUCUGGGCACGAGGCUUUCUUUACAUGCCAGUUGCCACCAGGACUGUAAUUUAAAAGCUUUGUAUCCAGAGCAGAGUUUGCCUUCAAACCCAGCCACCGGGAAACUUUCUCUAGAGCGAGGAGAGGUUUUUUCCUUAAAGACAAGGCUGGCGAAAAGCUCAGCCUGGGAUCCAAUAAAGAAAUCAAUAGCAAGAGGAAGAAGUGGAGCUCAAGUGAAUAUUCUAAUGUUUCUGCUCCCGGGAGAGCUUGCAUAUUUGAUGAAGCAGAAUGUACACAUCACACCAGCUUUUCCAGACCAGACGCACAUGCAUUCUCGUUACCAAACAGCUGACAAGCCGGACGCAGAAUUGGGGUUGCUAUUUAUUAUUAGGAUGGCUUCCUCUGCACAGCUGAUCAUUGGCGUGUGGCCAGCGGAUACCAGUUCUGGUUCCAAUCAGGAAACGCGUACACUUCUGGCACAGUAACACCUACAGGCCCCAAAUCAAGUUCCGGGCGCCAUUGUGCUGAGCAGACAUGUAGUAAGAGAGUCCCUGCCCCAGAGAGCUUACAGUUUAAACAGGAGAGACACACGAAUGGGAGGAGAGGCGAAGGGAAGUGGCUUGCUUAAAGGCACCCAGUAAGUUAGUUGCAGAAUUGGUAAUAGAAACCAGGUUUCCUGCAUCCUAGGUCAAUGUCCUACCCCCUGGACCAUGCCAUCCCUCAAGCAGCUCUUUACAUGUGCAAAAACAGUUUGAGAUCAUGGUUUGCAACAGUGAUAAGGAGGGACCAUCCCUUCUGCAGAGAUGACCACUAACUCCUGAGUCGGCUCUCAGUUAGGCUGCAGCACCACUUACUGCUGCCAAAGUCACAUGUGCUCCACCAGGAGCAAGGAGAGGAAGAGGGGCCCUUUAACCCCUCCAUUGUUUCCUCUCCUUCUCAAUAAGCCAUUCCCUCUAUUUCCCUGGUGCCUCAGGACCCACAUGUUGACCUGAUCCCCUCCUCCUGCAGCUAGAACGCUGACAGAGCAUGAGGCAUUUCCAUGCAAUCAGCCACUCCCCUGCUGCCCAAUGGAUGAGAAUCUGUGGGAUCUUUCUGCCUGUCCAUCAUUCUAAAAGCAUCAUCCAUCCCUAAUCCAAUCACUGUCAGCAUCACUGUACAGGCUGCAGGGACAGUGUUACCACCUGGACCAGUGGUUCACCAAUCACUGUGGUCUCUAACUGCUUCCACAGAGGUACCCCUUGUCCGCUGCAUUAUGAGCUGCACCAGAACUAUAAAGCAAGGAACGGGCAAAACAGAACUCCAAGGCAGACUCCCAUGCUACCCUCCAAACCCACUUCUCCUCAGGAGCAAGGCCCACCCGAGUCAAAGUAUAGCUCUGCUGUUCCUGCACACACUGCCUCUGGUCAGUCGUAGCAGAAACAGGAGAAGAGGACCUUGCUUCACAUGUAUUUUAAUGGCUGGUUGUUUCACUGGCGGAAUGUAGUUUCAAAGACUUGGUGACAACCAUUCAGAUCAACCAUCAAACAUGCCAUCGGCAGCAUUUAGAGGCUGAACUAAAUCUGGGAUGGAACAUGUUGAUACAUGAAAGGAGGAAGUUUUGAAGGCGAAAUGUAGUGGAGAUUAGACUUGGGAGGUGUAGGGCCUGAUUCGCCCUUGCCCUGCCCUGCGUCUCAUCAUUUACCUCCACGCCAAGUGAGGGGGAAGUGCCACUCAACCAGAACAAGAGCGUGGUCUAGCCACUUUGCACUAGUGCAAAUGAUGACAAGAUGCAAGGCAGCCUCAGGCCCACACAUUGGGUGGCUGGGGCUAAAUCUCCUCUUACCCCACACUUGUCCACUGACUGCUCCUGAUUUACCACAGUAGAAAACCAGAAUCAGGCCCCCUGCUGUCCCUUAUGGAAAUAUGGGCAAUUGCUGACCACUCGCUCUUCCCAUCUAAGUGUCAAAGACGCGCCAUAGAAGGCAAAAAGGCACAGGAGACGGAGUGGAAGGGUUGCUAACCUGGUGGUGGUGAUCAGGCUGCACCGUAGAGCUCCCCAGGUUUCAUUUGGCUGACAGGUUUCCCUCUCUUUAUCUCUAAGCACUGGUUUAAAAAGGACAAGCCACAGCUGUUUUGAGCAAACGUAUCUUCUCGGGUCUGCACAGGAUUCAAGAAUGGGGGGAGGCCAAAACCAAACUAACCAAAAAAAACCCUUUUAAGAAAGCCUCCAAAUCACCCCCAGUCACCAGAGCUCCUAGUCAACACUUGAAAGUUAGGUCGACCUAGCGACAUGACUCAGAGCUGUGGAAAAUUUCAAAGCGCUGAGCACCUGUUAGGUCAUCCUAACCCCCAGCGUAGACACAGCAGGGUCUACGCUACAGCAGAGCACCAUAGCUGUAUCACUGCAGCAGUGGAAGCACAGACAUACCCUUAAU